rnacentral:misc_RNA from 1 species
GAUGAAGAACGUAGUGAAAUGCGAUAAGUAGUGUGAAUUGCAGAAUUCAGUGAAUCAUCGAAUCUUUGAACGCACAUUGCGCCCGCCAGUAUUCUGGCGGGCAUGCCUGUUCGAGCGUCAUUACAACCCUCAGGCCCCCGGGCCUGGCGUUGGGGAUCGGCGGAAGCCCCCUGUGGGCACACGCCGUCCCUCAAAUACAGUGGCGGUCCCGCCGCAGCUUCCAUUGCGUAGUAGCUAACACCUCGCAACUGGAGAGCGGCGCGGCCAUGCCGUAAAACACCCAACUUCUGAAUGUUGACCUCGAAUCAGGUAGGAAUACCCGCUGAACUUAAGCAUAUCAAUAAGCGGAGGA